CAUCCUCUAUUCUUUUCUUAACCGCAUGCAUAUACACUUUAAUUCAACUCUUGCAUGUUAAUUUAUCAUCUUGAUUCUUGAUCUUUGCUUUAAAUUAAUUCAAUUUAGUGAUUUCAUGGAAUUAACAGGUUACCCGGCGCCGGAGACUUAUGGAAAAGAUGCUUACCCUCCACCGGGAUAUCCUCCACAAGGUUACCCUCCACAACAGGGCUAUCCACCUCAAGGCUAUCCUCCACAACAGGGUUACCCACCGCAAUAUGCUCCUCAGUACGCUCAGCCACCACCUCGUCAGCAAGGUUCAGGCGGUGCUGGUUGCAUGGAAGGCUGGUAAUUUACUCGCUCUCUCGAUCUUUCUGAUAAUUUUCUACUUGCAAAUUUUAAUUUUGUUCAUAUCUAAAAUCCCAAGUUAAAAUUGAAAUUAAAAUUGAAUUGAUCAUGAGAUGAAAGUGACUAAUACUAUGGAGGAGAUUCAGAUCAAGCGGUGCGAUCUUGGAAUCGAUCGCCGGUGGUGCGUCAGCGCUUGAUUGUUACUUUGUUGUUUUCGUAUUAUCUUUCGUCACGUUAUUAUUCAACUGCCUUACUUUUUGUUUUCUUUUUCUUUCUUUAUUUAUGUGGGACCUAUAUCAUCGGAUAUACCAAUCUAUACCAUCUUAAGUUCAACUCUUUCAUUAUUAAACAUUAAUUAAUGACCUAGAUUAACAAGCUAUUUAAAAUUAAAACCUACUCAACAACUAUAAACAAUAGUUAAGUACACUAGAUUAGUAUUUGUAGUUUUAACUCAACCAACAAAAAUAUCGAAACGGAUUUGAACCCCAAUUUUACUUGUGUGAAUUUUUCCAAUUGCUAUCAUUAUUUCAUCUAUCUAU
rnacentral:lncRNA from 1 species